UACGUAGGGUGCUAGCGUUGUUCGGAAUCAUUGGGCGUAAAGCGCGUGUAGGUGGUUAAUUAAGUCGGGUGUGAAAUCCCUGGGCUCAACCGAGGAAGUGCAUCCGAAACUAAUUAGCUAGAGAGUGGUAGAGGAAGGUGGAAUUCCUAGUGUAGAGGUGAAAUUCGUAGAUAUUAGGAGGAAUACCGGUGGCGAAGGCGGCCCACUGGUCCGGUACUGACGCUGAGGUGCGAAAGCGUGGGGAGCAAACAGG
rnacentral:rRNA from 1 species